GGGCCCAUAGCUCAGUUGGGAGAGCGCUUGAAUGGCAUUCAAGAGGUCGUCGGUUCGAUUCCGUCUGGGUCCACCA
rnacentral:tRNA from 2 species